rnacentral:snRNA from 1 species
AUCGCUUCUCGGCCUUUUGGCUAAGAUCAAGUGUAAUA